UAACGGUCCUAAGGUAGCGAAAUUCCUUGUCGGGUAAGUUCCGACCUGCACGAAUGGCGUAAUGAUGGCCAGGCUGUCUCCACCCGAGACUCAGUGAAAUUGAACUCGCUGUGAAGAUGCAGUGUACCCGCGGCAAGACGGAAAGACCCCGUGAACCUUUACUAUAGCUUGACACUGAACAUUGAGCCUUGAUGUGUAGGAUAGGUGGGAGGCUUAGAAGUGUGGACGCCAGUCUGCAUGGAGCCGACCUUGAAAUACCACCCUUUAAUGUUUGAUGUUCUAACGUUGACCCGUAAUCCGGGUUGCGGACAGUGUCUGGUGGGUAGUUUGACUGGGGCGGUCUCCUCCUAAAGAGUAACGGAGGAGCACGAAGGUUGGCUAAUCCUGGUCGGACAUCAGGAGGUUAGUGCAAUGGCAUAAGCCAGCUUGACUGCGAGCGUGACGGCGCGAGCAGGUGCGAAAGCAGGUCAUAGUGAUCCGGUGGUUCUGAAUGGAAGGGCCAUCGCUCAACGGAUAAAAGGUACUCCGGGGAUAACAGGCUGAUACCGCCCAAGAGUUCAUAUCGACGGCGGUGUUUGGCACCUCGAUGUCGGCUCAUCACAUCCUGGGGCUGAAGUAGGUCCCAAGGGUAUGGCUGUUCGCCAUUUAAAGUGGUACGCGAGCUGGGUUUAGAACGUCGUGAGACAGUUCGGUCCCUAUCUGCCGUGGGCGCUGGAGAACUGAGGGGGGCUGCUCCUAGUACGAGAGGACCGGAGUGGACGCAUCACUGGUGUUCGGGUUGUCAUGCCAAUGGCACUGCCCGGUAGCUAAAUGCGGAAGAGAUAAGUGCUGAAAGCAUCUAAGCACGAAACUUGCC
rnacentral:rRNA from 1 species